ACGAUUUACCUGAAUCGUAUUAAAAGUUAUGAAAACAGCACAGCUCUGCUAAUCUCAACUUUCAUCUUCACCGCUUCUCUCUCCUCCACCCCUCUCCGUUUCUCUCUCCUCUUUCUGCCUCCCCCUCUAUUAAGUUGACUCUGCAGAAUUACACAAAAAGAUAUUGAUUUACAAGCAAGAGAUGUCGGGUUUGGGCGACGAAUUUAUCGUAGAAAGCUUCAAAGUUCCAUGGCUGAUUUGGAUCCAACUUAUUGUAAUGUUUCUUCUCAUCAUUCUACUCUUUUUUGGGUUCGGCGUCUUUACCUUAGAACCUUCCAGUUACCUCGCUGCUUCACCAUCGACUGCCGCCACGCCACCGCCUCAUCGCAGCAAUCCCAGUUCAUCCCAUACGAGAGCUAAGGUGGUUAAUCAAAUUCUUACUCUUCUUAGACAUCUAUUUCUUGGUUGCCGAUUAUAAUCUUUAAUUUAUUUACUGUUGAGAAUCGGGUGAAUUGAGAGUUACCGCAGAAAUAUUUUUAUCUUUGAGUUGUUUUGAUUUAGUUUGUGCAGCGAUUGGACUGAAAUGAAUGGCUGAUAAAAUUGUGAUUCUGCAUGAAUUAGAAAGGCAGAAGUCCAGGGGACUAGGAGGGAUAGAGCAAGCAGUGCAGAAUUUACCAGAGAAGUCCAGAACGGGGAGGAGUCUUCUUCAAAGGAUUCUUCAUUUUCCAGAAUUCACAACCACCCUUGCAACUAUUUUGACAUAGCUAAACGAGCAGUUCUCAAGUGUUUAGGCUUGGAUUCUAGCUCCGAGCCCUCCAGGAGCGAUCAACAUGAAAAGCAAGAGUAAUGCAUUCAUUUUUAGUGAUCAUCCAUAAUGAUGAUAAGAUAAACACACAGUUCAGUAGACCUUCCCCAUGAACUUGACUGUUUGAGGGUGAUUAGACAAAGACUGUGAUUAGACGAUGUAUAUAGACACCAAGCUACGCAGCCUGAUUGCAUUCAACUGUAACUCGAUACGGUAAUGCUAAUGGGCUCCAAUUCUUUCACAUAAUUGAGCAGCUAAAGUCUUUGAUUUUGUUUUCUUGUGCUUUUUGGUGUUCCUUUUGUAGCUAUAGAUAACUACUCCUUUCUUUUAUAUCUUCAGCUUUCUUGAAUCCCUGCCUCUUCUAAAUAUGGUGGGGUGGCUGUGUAGGGAUGCACGUAGCAGUUACAUCACAUGCUUGAUGCUAUAUGUAAAGAACCAUUUGAACAUAUUUUGAUGUUAGCCUAACAGCUAUAAAAUGUCAUUUCUAUGUGAUUU